rnacentral:rRNA from 1 species
UACGGAGGGUGCAAGCGUUGCUCGGAAUUAUUGGGCGUAAAGGGCAGGUAGGUGGUCUCGUUUGUCUGGGGUGAAAGCCUUGAGCUUAACUCAAGAAGUGCCCCAGAAACGGCGAGACUAGAGUUCUGGAGAGGGUCGUGGAAUUCCCGGUGUAGCGGUGAAAUGCGUAGAGAUCGGGAGGAACACCAGAGGCGAAGGCGGCGACCUGGACAGAUACUGACACUCAACUGCGAAAGCGUGGGGAGCAAACAGG